rnacentral:siRNA from 1 species
CAAUCUAGAAGACGAUGGAGACA